UACAGGAGGGUGCGAGCGUUAAUCGGAAUUACUGGGCGUAAAGCGUGCGCAGGCGGUUUUGUAAGUCUGUCGUGAAAUCCCCAGGCUCAACCUGGGAACUGCGUCCGAUACUGGAUGGCUUGAAUCCGGGAGAGGGAUGCAGAAUUCCAGGUGUAGCGGUGAAAUGCGCAGAUAUCAGGAGGAACACCGAUGGCGAAGGCAGGUCACUGGGCCGCAACUGACGCUGAGGAGCGGAAAGCCAUGGGGAGCGAACAGG
rnacentral:rRNA from 1 species